CAACAUUUAGGGCUCGAAGAAAAUGAAGCACUGAUUGAGAAGAUUGGAUUAUUUUUAGCAACAGUGGGAGUGAAAAUUAUCUCUUCUCAAUAAUUUACAUUUACAGCAUUAUAGAACAACGGAGAUUCUGGAGAUAUGUAGUCUGGCUCCCCCAUUUAAUUGAAAAGAAAAGGAGCUGGAGAAUUCUGAAGUUACUGUCUAUUGCCUGCCAGCAAGCACAGCCUGCCCUGUACAGAUAGUUUGACUCCAGGAAGAACACUGACCUCAAUUAGCUUGCAAAUGCAGGAAAAAAAGUUAAAACGACAAAGUGACUCCCCUGGAGUGUUAUCAUACCCUUUUACUGGGGUAUGGCUCUGGGCAUCCUUGCAGGGGCUCACUGGCCUGGGAUUGGCAGUGGGGCAUGGCUGUCAGUCAUGCCAUUUGCCACAUUUUCUUCUUUUCCCUCUUUCUGGGUGCAUGGCAGGACUGCUCCAUUCAGUCUCCUCAUGGUUGGAUACAGCCAUGUGGCUGUUUCUGGAGAAAAAGUUAUGGGUUGAAAUGACUCCAGGCCAGAGCUUUCCUUGCCAAAGUGGGAUUCUCUACAGUGCUUUGCCUUCUGGCACAGUGACUGAAAUCUUUGAGAUAUUGACAGCCCCGUCAGGCUGGAUUCUGUGAGGAGCAGAGUCCCUCUGACAGCCUGAAAUGAACAUGCAUCAUGAGCAAGAUAGAAAUCUUUGUUGUCUUAAGCCACCGACAUUUGGAGGUUGUUUGUUACGACAGCAUAACUUAGUCUAUGCUGACCGAUACCCUGGAUGUUCUACUGUCUGCUUUUCAGGAGCUAAAUGGACAGUCUGUGUAUUUAGUCCUUCAAGGACAAGUAGAUACUCUUAUUUUUUUUUAUUUUUUGUGAUUCAAGACUUUGUAUAGUUUGCCAAAUUAGGUUUUGAUGUUGGAGGUGCUGACACCCAAAGUCUUAACCGGAGGAGCUGAGGUUGCUUUUUGCAGACUUUUAUGCUGAAAUGAAUUUCCUGCACCAAGGAGGAAGUAUUGGGAUACAUCAUGGUGGGCAUUUCUGCUAGUAACAUGGAGACCAGGAGGCAGGCCUUCCUGAAGGAGCUGGUCUGAGGGAGACAGUUCGAGGAGUAAACAAACAAGCCAGCAAAUAACAACAAGCAUUUGCCAUCAGAAAUGGAAGGGGAGAGAGGAGGUGAUCAGGCCCCAAGGGGACACGCUCCAAAUGAUGGUGAAAUUUCCAUGAGGUCCAGGGAACUCAGCCGCUAAGUACACUUAAUGGAUUCAGUUUUAGAGUGGCCAGGUUUUGCUGUGUGGCCAGAUAUCUACAAAGAAAUGCAUCUCCCAAUAGAGUGACAGAUAUUCCAUCUUUGCUAUAUAUGAGUUUGAAGGACCUGGCACUCUGGACCUGUGAUGGGAGGGGUGUCACCAAUAAUCUCUGAAGUGCCUUGGGGGUCAUUGACAACAGCCUCUGGCUUCCUUCUAUCCACAUUAAUCUCCUUAUCAAAAGAUGCCAUUGACCUUUAGAUGGGCUGCACAGUGUGGGGUCCUGUGCCAUGGAUCUACUUCUCCAGGGACCAGGAUCUUGAGAUCUUCAGGCUGGGUUUCCAUGGAGGCCUGGAGCUGCUUUUCCUCCUGCGUAACUGCACUCAAAACAGCCUGGUUGCUCUAGAAUGGAGACUUGGGCAACUCCUUCCUGCUCAGAUUUGCUCACCUCAGGGAAAUGCAAAUAGAAGCAAGCUGCAGGCAACUUCACCCCUAAGUCCAUGGGUUCUCAGCUGGUAAUGUCCUCUUAUGGCUGUUAACCCAUGAUGUCAAUCCUGUAGCAAUCUAAGGCUUGAGAAAAAUUAAUCUUCUGGAAAAUUCUAAGACUACAUCUUAGGGAGCCUGGCUUUAUCUCUAUGUCUUGGAUCAUACAAGGGUAUGCUUUUAAUUUCACACUAGAACUCAAAGAGUACUGGCCAAUGGAUGUGUUUCCUAGAACUAUCCCAGUGUGUUCACCAUACAGAGGAAGAUUCUGAGAUUCAAGACUCAAGACUGAAGAAAAUCGUUAUUUUUAUUAUUUUAGUCUUAUACACAAAAUGGUACCUACUGAAUAAGCAGGUUUUUAAUAGGUGACUUAUAUAUAAACAAAAAGAAACACUUUAUCUUCUAGAUCUAUUCCAGUUUUUCAGCAGCUGUAGAUUUAAAUGCAAACUUUUAGCCCACAGGAUAAGAAGAAAGCAAGUCCUGAACGUGGGCCAGCACCAGGAUUCAAGCCUCUGACUCCAAGGCAAGGGUUCGUCAUCUUGAAUCGUGCACAAAUUUUUACAUAGCGCCAGAGGAAACUGCUUGUACUUUCUGUUGUAGGUGCUUUGCUGGAUUCAGGACGCAGACAAGGUCCACACACUGUGGUUGCGUGAUGUGUCUCUUAGCUCUUUUAAUCCGUAAUACCUCUUCCUCUCUUUUUAGAAUGCAUUUACUUGUUGAAAAACUUGGCCACAGGUCACUUUUCUGUAGAGUGGAUCAUGUUCUGGAUUUAGCCAAAUGCCCUCUUGUUGAAGAUUUAUCUUCCACGCUUUCUGCAGGUGGUUAUAUCCUCCAGGGAUUGAUUAAACUCAGGUCUUCCUUUUUUUUUUUUGGCAAAGUCACUUCAUAUGAAUGCUGUGCAUUUUCUGUUGCACCUUCAUCACAUCAGGAAGAAACGAUAUCUAGACUUCCUGCUUUUAAUGCUGUUAAGAUUGGUGAGUCAGGUGUCAUGGACCUCGGAGUUACCAAUCGUCUACAUUUCUAUUGGCAAUUUCCUCCAGAAUUCAGAAAUCGGUUGUGAGCGUGAUGGUUGGGAGUGCUGGAUUGGAGUCAGACAGCUUCUGUUUGAGUAACAGCUCUGAAAGUCACUUGUCAUGCCACAGCUAGGUCGCUCAAGCCCUCAGACCUUUCAGGGCUGACUCAGCUUUAGGAGUGGAUACUCCACUUUUGAGUGGGACUAUUGUUUGAGUGGGUUGAGUUCUGUGAGCUGGGCUUUGGCCCAGGUGCAGAAGAGUGGUAGCUGUAAUUUAGUGGCAUUGGUUUCAAGCAGAUGGAAUUUGUUUAGAUGACCUUAAAGGUCUUUCCAAAUCUGAUGUCUUAAAUGAAUUAUCAGAUGGCCUAUAGUUUGGUUACCACAUAUUAAGGAUAAAUAUGAGGGUAGGAGCACUCAUCAUUCAGUUGUAAUAGCUCAAUAGAGAUAAUAAUUCUGCCAGAUUUGGGUCCUGUGGGCAGAGCUGAGAGGUCUGUAAAUUCACAUUCACUCUUCGAGUCCUGGUUUAUAGCAGCCUGCCAAGUGUGUCACUAAGAUGAAGAUAGAUGAUAAUGACUACAUUUUGGUAAUUCAUUUACUUUACUAAAAUCAGUGCUCAGUCAUGUUACAGGCGAGACUCCAUCUGGUUCCCAUCAAUGAUGGAGGGAGCCCCGUGUCUGGACAGAGGGCUGCAUCUGUGCCUAUGCAGGAAAGCUGCAUGGAUUAUCCAGCAAAUCACGGUAUAGACCACCAGCUGGGCCAGUCCAGGUCCAAGCCAGCCAGGUGACUCUCUCCUGCCGUUCAUUCACUUCUUCGUUCGACAGGUACUGUGGACACCUGCUGUGUGCCAGGCACCGCUGAGGUGCCUGAGGGGAGAUCAGGAGCUGAUGCAUAUUCCAACUGAGGGGUGGCAGUAUAACCAAAAACGGACAUAAUCCCCAAAUCAUAGAGCACGACAUGGAUGAUGCAAAUUAUGGCAAAGAAAGCUUUGUGCACACUGAGGGGUUUCAUGUUUCCUGAGAAGGAUGUGGAUUGUAAUUUAAGGUAGGAUGGGGGUUGGUCCGAGAUGUGAGCCUGGCUGACAAGAUCAGGCAGGAAAUGUCUUCUUCAGACCCCACCCGCUCAGUAGAACACCUGCUUGGCACUGUUCUGGGCCUUAGUGUAACUACUGAGCAUAAGAUGGCCAUUGCCACUUGGCAUUGCUGCCCUGGAUGCCCGGAUCGUGGUGCUGCCUGUCCCUCUGCUGCCUCCUCUCUGUGUCCCCUCAGUGGUCCUGAGCCCCAUUCCCUCCAGGGUUGUCUUCAGGCCAUGACUUGCAAGUUGGCUCUCCCUGGGGCUCACGGUGCUUCAUUCAUUCCUAAAGGUGCCUUCUCCUCCCUACCCUGAUGUAGAGUAAAAGGUUUCCUGAUCCCAUUGCUUUGUCAGGACAAUAUUGCUUCCCAGGGAAGACUCUCUUGGCACAUUUUAGGCACUUCUGGAAGAACACCAUGUCAUCAUCAUAAUCACCAUCAUCAUCAGAUCUUCUCCAAGCCCCAUCUGGGAGGGUCGCGUGGGAGCCACACGUGGACUUAGUUAGGGAGCUCUCCCGAGCCUGAACUGAUGGCUGGACCAGCCCAGGCUUUUGUUUGCCACAGGAAGACAGCUUUGUGCAAACCCUUGUUUAACCUGGCCUUCCCUCUUUAGAAAGAGAAUGUUCACCAGAUGAAUCAUGCCUAACGUGCUCACUGGAGCCAAAGGACUUUGGCUCCCAGGCUGUUUACUUCAGCCCAGACUUUGUCCUGUAAGUGUUCUUAGGAAAUGACAAUGAACAGAAAAUUGUCAUUGUUUUUGCUGAAAAAAAAAAAAGGUUGAAUAGUUUCCCUGGCCCAGGCUGGCUGGUAGCAACCCUGGCCCCAGCAUGCUCCUCAGCCCCCUACUCUCCCCAGCAGGGCCAGUGUGCCCUCGUCUGUCCACCCUGCUCUGUGACCAGGUGCCCUGGUGUGCGCUUGCCCAGGGGCUGGCUGUGCGCAAGAUGACACAUGGUUUGCGUUGAUGUCUCAUGGGCUCACAUGGGCAAGGCUGUGCUGUGGCUGUGCCGGGGACCUGGUGCUCAUGUGGGGCCCUCACCUGGUUUCGCUGUUGAAUUCCUCCCACCACUGCCUACCUUGGGUGGGAGGGCACCUGGCCUUCAGGCAGAGUGGACUUGGAGAAGCAGAGGUGCUGCAGGCAGGGUCUGUAUUUGGGUUUUGGCAGCCUGGAUGAAAUCCCACCUCUGCCACCUGCCAGCUGUGUGUGAGUGGCCAGGUUCCUUGACCCACGCUGAGUUACAGUGUUCACUUGGCUCUGUUUCUAAACCUGGGAUAUGGCUCUUUUGGCCUAUUUCCUGUUUGUGGCAUUAGAGGCAAUCAAUAAGACAUCAUGGAGUAGACAUUGAGCUUGCCCUCCCGCCUGCACAAAAAGCAGGUCCUGAGGCAGCUUCCUGCAGCCCCGGGGACCCUGCAACACCUUCGGGGCUCGGAGGCCUCUGUGUCUGACUCCGGCUCAAGUGCAGCUACAGCUCUAGAGGAAGCAACCCACACCACAGGGAAGCGAGGAGGCGGGGGGUCGUGUCCGGGCAUGCCCACAGCAGGGGCUGGAAGAGCCACCAUGGCAGCAGCGACAGAGCCAGGGAAAAUGCCGUCCUAUGAUAAGCAGUCGUGUCUUUAACCCAAAUGAUGUGUCUGCAGAAACUGGUUGCAUUUGCUACUUUGACAGGUGGACAAUGUUUUAGUGUCUUAAUUAGCAUGUUGGGUAAUUGCUGCCAUUAAUCUUGUUCUUUUUUUCCAUGUUCGUUGGCCAUUUUGACUUCUCUAUACCCAUCUUCCUUAUUGAAAAACAUGAUAGGAAACUUUUAGUUAUUAAAUUAUGAAGACCUAACGCAUGGCAUGAUGACUAUUGUUAAUUCUACUGCAUUAUAUACUUGAAAUUUGCUAAUACUGUAUAUUUCAAGUAUUCUUAUAAAAAUGUGGUGAUGGGUAUGGUGAUUAGCUUGAUCCUGAUAAUCUCACAAUGCAUGUGUAUAUCAAAACAUCGCCUUGUACACCUUAAAUACUCAACUUUUCUUUGUCAGUUAUACUUCAAUAAAGCUUGGAAAACACACACACACACAUUCACACACAAACAGAAGUGGCCAAAACAGACAACUGCAGAAUUCCUCUGGCAGGCCUGGGCUGAGAGCUGGGGCUGUUCGUACUCCCGGCCCUCUCUGCAUCCUCAGAUGAUGUGGUGCUGAGCUGCUUCCCUCUGCCCUCCUCCACUCUCUAAAGCCCUGUCCAUCUGGCUCCUACUCUUACACUUGAGUGGAAACUGUGCCCUCCAAAACCAGGGGACUCAGGAGUCUUGCCCUGUGUCUCCUCCCGACCCAUGGUGGGUGGGAGCAGUCUCUCUGCCCUUCUCCUCUUCCACCCUUGUCUCCUCUCUCCUGGCCACUCCUGCUGCCCACCAUCCUCUCCUCCUGGGCUCUGCAUGCCUUCUGCACGUGUCCCCACACGUGUCCUCCACAGCCCCUCUGUGCGUUCUGCAUGUGUCCCCUAAGUGGACUCUGUAGUCCCUGCUUGCCCCACACUCCCUUACCCUGUGUCCUGAGCAUAGGUCUGCAGGUUACAGUGGCUGGCGAGCAUCUCCACAUUGUGACAUUCUACUGGGACCUGAAACAUCUGCCCCUGACAACAGCCUCAGCACAGAAUCCCUGGCCAUCCAGCUCCGACGGGGACAUGGAACCUGCCUCUCCUUCCUUCCUGCCAGUCUCUUAGUUGUCUGUGCCUUUGCCCUGUCGUGGUCUAUUCAACCUGUAAGCCAAGCCGUUCUUGUUUCCCUAUCUGUGGAGUCACCCCUUAAUUCAGUUCCUGAGAGCUCAGUGGCUGCAGUUUGAUCAUUCCCGUCCAUUCCUGGACUUCUUCAGCCUUGUCCCGCACUGCCUUAUUUCUUACAAGAUGGUAGCAUCAUGGGGAGAAUGGAAUUCCUAGCUUUGUUUUUCUCCUUUCAAGCCACCAUGAUCGUCCCCAGCACAGCUCCAAUCCUACUUCUCACAUAUUCAAAAGCACUAACAUCUCCUAACUCACCCCGAUUGUUUUCACAUGUAACCCAGUGUCCCUGCAGUCUGUCGCCUACUGUUGCCUACUGACUUUCCAACCUUUUUGGGAUGAUCUCUCAGUAUAGCCCUUGGAAUUCUCUCUUUGUCUCUCUUCUCCAGCGUCUCAACAGCUUUUGCCAUUGCUAACUGUUCCCUCCUCCUGACACACCCUCUUGGCCUCCAGGCCCCAUUCUCUCUCCUGGUUCCCCUCCACACUGGACACAGCUAUGAGGCUCAUUGUCCAUGGAGGGCAAUUGUGACUCAGUCAUGGCUGUUGCUCUUUCUUACGUGGAGCUCUCCUCUGGCUGCCUCAUUCAGGACUUUGGAUUUGUGAGCACCUGUGUGAAGCUGACACAGACAUUGAACUUUCUUUCUAGAGCUUUGUUCUCAGCUCCAGAAACACACAGCCAACUGUCUUCCUGAAGCUCCCAUGUAGAUGGCACCUGGGUCUUGCCAUAAUAAAAAUGGAACCUGAAUCUGGAGCUCUAAGUCACACCUUGUUCCCAUGCUCCUCCUGUUAGGUUAUCGCUGUGAAGACAACAAACCCUCAUCUACUCCAGAUGCAGUCUGUCCCCACCGAUUCUGCCUGUCAGUGGUUUCAGACACAUCCGUCUUUAUCCACAGCCAGUGUCUCAGUCAGAGCCGCAGCAGCUCUCUCCUGCAUGGUGGAAAUGGCCAGGAUACCUCUCUGCACUGGUCCUGUUACUUGCAAGCCCCUCCCUGAACUGCAUCUGGCCAGUGCGGCCUUUUUAAAAGCUUCAUUGUGCUGCUGUCCUGCCUAAAAUCCUGCAGUGGCGCUACAUUCUUCUUUACAUGCUUUCUUUUUUUUUCAGAACAAAGACUAGAUCCUUACCUGGCCCACAGCCCUCCCAGUUCUGGCCACAACGUCUCAUGAGGCUUAUCUCACCAUGAGCCCCUGUUCUAGGUGUCCGCAUGUUGCUCUGUUUGCCCCCAGGACUGUCCACUGCCUCUUUGGUCUGUUGGCAUGUACUUGUCCUCCAGACCUUAGUUCAAAGGUGAGUUCCUCACAGAAGCUUUGCUGGAGUCCCCAGGAGCAGGGAAUGUGUGUGUUCUCUCCUUUGAGGCACCUCCCACAGUGUUCAUUUGCAUGACUUGUGUGAUUAUUUGGUGGAUGACAGUUUUCCGAGUGCUGUGGGGGUUGUACCUCCUUCUCCUGAACCACUAGUUGGGAGAAUAAACUUCCCUUCUUCCAGCAUGGCUUUGACAUCACACAGACAUGAUUUGGUGGUCUUCAGCACAAGUCACUGGGCUUUGAUAAACACCCUUUACCACGAGGGAAAUGAGAGUCGGAUGACUUAAGGAUCACCCCAAAUCAGGUGGAAAAUCUGGAUGCCCCUGGUCGCAGGCCAGCAGGUCUUGGUGCCUUCAGAUCCCUAGAGUAUCCUAAUUUGGCUACAGUUUUCUGUCUGCAGAAAGGCCCUGAAGGGAAGACGCCAGGCUGGAGCAAGAGUGAUCAUCCUGGGCCCUCACUGUGCCUGAUUCACCCGGAGGAAACCUUGCGUGGACACCACUAGCCUCUGGAGAGAUUUCAGACCUUUGGGAACAGAGUAGGGUUCCUGUCUUUGUAACGAGCAAGUUUUCAGCUCUCUUUCACCCUGUUUGCCACUUUCCCUCUGUUUCUGUGGCUUCCUUAUUUGGCAGUCCCUGGGCCUGGUGGACCCUGCCACCACUUCUUUUUGUGAGUCUGAUCUGUCCUGCAUCCCGACUGCAGCUGUACCUGGCCCCAGACCCCCACAUCCUAGCUGGCGGGAAGGAUUCCUCCCCUAACCCAUCAGGGCCUCACCUCUGGAGGCAAUUACUGCCUGGCCUGUGAAAAUAUAUAAGGAUACUUGAAGAGGUAUCGUGUUACAUCCUUCAUAUUUUGCCAGCAAUAAAUCCAGUUCCUUUCCUCUCGGGUGGACUCUCAACUCUAUAAAUUAAGAGUCUACUUCUAAGGAGGAAGAUUUCACAGGACUCAAGGUUCUGUAUGACCUGCUCGCAUUUCAAGGGUUGACCUAAAAGCUGGGGGCUUUCAGAACUGCAGGAAGUCAUGCCCAGAGAUCAGUGGCUUUAGGAUCUGUGUCCCACUCACAGCCCUCCUGCCUCUCCUGUGCUUCCUGCCAGCUUGGACAUCAGGACCUCUCUAGCUGCAUUUAGGAUUGUUUAGCAGACAGGUGAUGGGGAAGCACCCACAAAGAUAGAGUUGGAAAUAAG